GAUGAACGCUGGCGGCGUGCCUAAUACAUGCAAGUCGAGCGAACAGACGAGGAGCUUGCUCCUCUGACGUUAGCGGCGGACGGGUGAGUAACACGUGGAUAACCUACCUAUAAGACUGGGAUAACUUCGGGAAACCGGAGCUAAUACCGGAUAAUAUAGUGAACCGCAUGGUUCAAUAGUGAAAGACGGUUUUGCUGUCACUUAUAGAUGGAUCCGCGGCGCAUUAGCUAGUUGGUAAGGUAACGGCUUACCAAGGCAACGAUGCGUAGCCGACCUGAGAGGGUGACCGGCCACACUGGAACUGAGACACGGUCCAGACUCCUACGGGAGGCAGCAGUGGGGAAUCUUGCGCAAUGGGCGAAAGCCUGACGGAGCAACGCCGCGUGAGUGAUGAAGGUCUUCGGAUCGUAAAACUCUGUUAUUCGGGAAGAACAACUGUGUAAGUAACUAUGCACGUCUUGACGGUACCUAAUCAGAAAGCCACGGCUAACUACGUG
rnacentral:rRNA from 1 species